rnacentral:rRNA from 1 species
GAUGAACGCUGGCGGCGUGCUUAACACAUGCAAGUCGAACGAUGAAGCCCAGCUUUCUGGGUGUAUUCGUGUCGAACGGGUGAGUAACACGCGAGUAACCCCCCCCCAACACUUGGAUAAGCCUUGGAAACUGGGUCUAUUAUCCGAUAGGAGCGUUCACCCCACGUUGGGGGUUUGAGAAAUUUUGCGGUUUUGGAGGUACGCGCGGCGUAUCAGCUCGUUGGUGGGGGAGUGGCUCACCAAGGCUGGGACGGGUAGCCGGCAUGAGAGGGUGAACGGCCACAUUGGGACUGAGAUACGGCCCAGACGCAUACGGGAGGAAGCAGUGGGGAAGAUUGAACAAUGGGCGGAAGCCUGAUGCAGCAACGCAGCGUGCGGGAUGACGGACUUCGGGUGGUAAACCGCGGUCGCCUGUGAAGAAGCGGGAGUGACGGUAAUGGGGAAAGAAGCAACGGCUAACUACGUG